GAUGAACGCUGGCGGCAGGCCUAAUACAUGCAAGUCGAGCGAACGGACGGUAAGCGUGCGCCUCUGAUGUUAGCGACUGACGGGUGGGUAACACGUGGAUAGCCUACCUAUAAGACUGGGAGGACUUCGGAGAGCCGCAUAUGAUACCAGAUAAUAUUUUCAACCGCAUGAUGCAAAGGUGCAAGAGGGUCUUGCGGUCACUAUUAGAUGAAGCCGCACUGGAUUAGCUAGUUGGUAAGGUAACGGCUUACCAAGGAAACGAUGCGUGGCCGACCUGAGAGGGUGAUCGGCCACACUGGAACUGAGACACGGUCCAGACUCCUACGGGAGGCAGCAGUAGGGAAUAUUCCGCAAUGGGCGCAAGCCUGAUCCAGCCAUGCCGCGUGAGUGAUGAAGGCCUUCGGAUUGUAAAACCCUUUUAUUAGGGAAGAACAUAUGUGUAAGUAACUGUGCCUAUUCUGACGGUACCUAAUCAGAAAGCACCGGCUAACUACGUG
rnacentral:rRNA from 1 species